AAUAAUUCAGUUAAAAACAUUAGUUAUGCUACAGCAUGACCCUUUAAGUACAAUUCUAGCAGAGUUCUGUAGUGUUUUUGGUUUGAGGUGGAUGCUGUGUAUCAGCUGGUGGUGUCGAUGCCUCCAGGCAGUCCUCGGUUGCCCAGGAAACACAGAUGGUGGAUGAAGGGCGCGCAUACAAAAGACCAUAAACCUGUGGCAGCAGCUGGAGAGCGAGACCACUGAUUAACUCGAGUCUGUGCAGUCUCGCUCAGUUAAAGACGUCGCUGUUCUCUUUAAUACGUUCAAUCCAUUUCCUUUGUCCCGGGGCUUCAUCCGUCUGCACUUUAUCCUGUUUUCCGUGGACUGGACUCCCGUCAGUGCGCAGCUGUUGUUGGCACUCCCACAUCUGCUUGUCUCAGCUCGGCAGCCAUAUAGACGACGCUCAGCCGCGGCUCAUGUUAGUGCGUAGGUUGUAGGUCCGGGAGGCGACCAGCGUUUUCACUGCGGGCGAAGUCACUGCACACAAGUAUUCGUAGGUUCGGCUGCCUGCCCUUAGCAUGGGGAAAAGGAAGAAGAACAAGAAGAUAUGCUCUUUUCUCACCGUUUGAUGCUGCGGGACAUGUACGUGAUGAACCUGGAGAUGACUGGUAACCUUGUGGUCAGUGUUGCAUGGACAUUGCACUGGAUUCAUCUACAGAGCUGCUGACAUGUCACCAGUCAGGACACUGGGAGGAUCCAAAUGGGAACCAACAGCAUGACAGGUUAUGUGUACAGGCUGGAUUACCUUUAUUAAAAUCGUGAGGGAGGUUCAUUUUCACUGGCACACAAUAUCUGGUGGAGACUUUAAUAGCGUUACUCACUCACAGUUAGAUAACUGACAUCAAUGAAGCCUACACUAUCUCAAGUGACUUAUGUCUUUUAGCAGUGGGUCUAUUUCAUUCUCAUUCACUUGUAAAUAAAAAGCAGUAAGGAGAAACAAUGAAAUGAAAGAACAGGCGUUCCCUGGGGGAUCUUGGGAGGACAGUUGGGUUGCGUUCCACUUUUCUGCUGCUUUGUGUCGUGUGUUCUUCUCCAGUUACACUGAUGAAAAAGCAGAUCGGGGCUCGCACUGGACCUCAUUGUACACCUGGCGGCAUCGCACCAUCACCCUCUGCUGUGCUGCCUUCACAGACUGUGAGUGAUGCGUGGUGCCAUCAUUGCUGUCCUGGACCUUCAGGAGAAGAGGAUCCAUGUUCAAGUGUUUCCCCACAGAGAGACGACUUCUGCCGCUUUUAUGUAUCAGGGAAAAGAGCUGUGAAGAGUUAAAAAUGCCACCCACUCCUUUGUAGUCAGUGUCAGCGUGAUAAGAUGUAGCAGAGAGGUAUUUCAUGGGUAGUGUGUAUUUCUCCCCAGCUGUGAGCACACCCUCACUUGAAUUUUUGUUUUCUUCACUGAUCAAAAACACUGUCACUUCAGCCAUUGAACACGGCACGCUUGCUUUCUUCAGCUGUUCUGUGCAGUGACCUCUUCACUCUGUUACCUUGGUUACACUGUCUAACUCUUCAGUCACUUCCUCCUCUGUAGAGGACACUUUAAAUUCACCAGAGGUGGUGUUUUAACAAUGCUGUCCUCCUGUGUAUUAACUUCUCACUAAAGCUAGCAUCCAUAAUGGGAAAGCUCUAAUAUUUUAAUCCUGUAAUGUUAAAAAAAAAAAACAUCUGCUUAAGUGUGUGAGGAUGGUGUGUAAUUCACACAGUAUGUUUUUGUUUGUCUUGAAACCUCUUAAUUUGGACUUGAUACUACUAUUUUAAUGUAAUAUAUACAGUAGUACUGUUAUGCGUGGGUGUGUUUGUGUGUCUGUGCGAGUGCAUGUGUUUAUGCAUGUGCUCUAUUUGUGUGUGUGUGCGUGUAUGUGUGUGUUCACUCCUGUAAAUGUGCAUGUGUAUUGUUAUGUAUGUCUGAUAGAAACGUUUUUGUAAUGGGCCUCAAGUCCAAGCUGCUUUACAGUAAUUUCCUUAUAGCUGCAUACUUUUCAGAUGCCUGAAGCUCAUCUUUUAGCCACUGGAUGUACCAGAAAGGGAUAAAAAAAAAAAAAAGAUAUUUUCAAAUGAUUGUUAGCAUUUGUUACAACCUCACUAAAGUACCAGUUGGGUGGGAAUUCUUGUGAUUUAGAUAAUCACAAGAAUGGCGCUGGAAAUGAAUGGUGUGUAUUUUUCUAAAUGACGCCUGCUGGCAUUAAUUAAACUGUCCUGAUGCUUACAGCCCCAUCAUCUGAUACUUAAGCUAAUUACAGCAAAUGCUAAUAAUUAUGUGCAAAUAGCUUUUUUUUUACCCAGGUCUGGAUUGUACUAACAGAAUCUCACUAAUAUCUAACAGUACUAAUGUCUGCUAACAGUCGGAUGAUUACUAACCUGUACUCUGAAUGCUGAUGGCUGGCCUGGAUCUCUCUAACACACUGACUAACCCGCUGCUUUACGCCCGCAGUCUAAUGUACACACUCCUCUCUCAUGAUCCUGCAAUCCUUCUUCCAGAAACGACCGCCUCACAUUAAUCACUGAAGAAAGAUCAAUGAAAAAAUUUUUAAAGUCAGUAUGUCAAGAAGGGUUUCAGGAUUUGGGACGGGAAACGUUAUUAACCACAAGAUGAAAAGAGGAGCAGACACAGCUGCUGAUAUUAAACUGGGUUGACCACAUACUUUAAAGAAAUCCUCCGAAAAAAUUCCAAAUGAUAUUACCAAACUGUGUCACACUUCACAGGCUAAAUUCACAUAUUUUGAGAAUGGCUUUGUAACUGCCUGUGCGCUGUGUGGUCAACCUUCGCAGGGGAGUGCCUGGCUUGUUGUCACCACAGGUAAUGCAGUGAGACACAAGCCAAGCCAAGCCUCCGCUCCACUACUAACUCCUUAUGGUAUUGUUACUAACAGUGGUGAGGCUGACAAGGCCCACCUGUUGCUCUUACUAACAUCUCUGUCCUCUCUGACUGAAACUCGAUUUCAAUCCUGAUGUUUCUUUGUUAAUCUUUAAUUGGAUCAAAGCAUGCCUCACGGUACCAGUGAUGUUCAUUAAAUCACAUUAUAUAGAAGCUUUUAUCCAAAACAUCCUUUAGUGUCAUGAGAAUGUGCUUUUUUUUUUUUAUCAGUGAACCUCCCUGCUAAGACCACCAGCAACAUCCUUAUAAUAAAGCUUGACACUUUUGUUCCCUUGACCAGCUACUAACAUCUCCUAAACUUCAAUUAACAGUUACUAACAUGAGGAGCUUUUAAUAGCUCUCUGCAAACUAACAAACUAACCUACUAAUAAACUAAUAAUCUAACAAUAACUAACUAAUCACUAACUUUGUUCUGAGUGGCAGAAUUAGUGAAGCUCCCUGAUUUUGAGGAGUUGCAUCACUUAUUGAAUGUACUGAAUUCAGUUUAUAAGAAUCAAUGAUGGUUGAAUGUGCCUGUCUGUGUGUGUGUGUGUGUGUGUGUGAGAGAGAGGGAGAGAGAAAGAGAGAGAGAGAGAGCACAGAAAAGUGUGUGAGUUUGUGUUUGCACAGAAUGUGACAUGUGAUGAGCGACCACCUGAUUUUGUUCUCUCAUAUUCAUUAGAGUAAUUUAGCCACCAAUUAAGCAACAGCUAUCACCCUUGAGCUUUCAGACAAUAAACUGUGUGAAUGUAUCAUGAGUGUAAAGAAAAUGAAUUAAAUGUACUCAGAUAUUUUUGUACCUUAUUGUGAAUUUAUCAAUUGUCUUCACUACAUACUUUUGUAAUAAACAAUUUUCACAUAUAAAUAAAACCUGUUUUGAUUGUA